UGGGGAAUAUUGGACAAUGGGCGCAAGCCUGAUCCAGCCAUGCCGCGUGAGUGAUGAAGGCCCUCGGGUUGUAAAGCUCUUUCACCGGUGAAGAUAAUGACGGUAACCGGAGAAGAAGCCCCGGCUAACUUCGUGCCAGCAGCCGCGGUAAUACGAAGGGGGCUAGCGUUGUUCGGAUUUACUGGGCGUAAAGCGCACGUAGGCGGACUUUUAAGUCAGGGGUGAAAUCCCGGGGCUCAACCCCGGAACUGCCUUUGAAACUGGAAGUCUUGAGUAUGGUAGAGGUGAGGGGAAUUCCGGGUGUAGAGGUGAAAUUCGUAGAUAUUCGGAGGAACACCAGUGGCGAAGGCGGCUCACUGGACCAUUACUGACGCUGAGGUGCGAAAGGGUGGGGGGCAAACAGG
rnacentral:rRNA from 1 species